rnacentral:SRP_RNA from 1 species
GCUGGGCACGGUGGCUCAUGCCUGUAAUCCCAGCACUCUGGGAGGCUGAGGCGGGUGGAUCACCUGAGGUCAGGAGUUUGAGACCAGUCCCCUGACCAACAUGGUGAAACCCCGUCUCUC